rnacentral:rRNA from 1 species
AGAGUUUGAUCCUGGCUCAGGAUGAACGCUGGCGGCGUGCCUAACACAUGCAAGUCGAGCGAGAUAUUGAGGGAUUCUUUUAGAUGAUCUCCUUAUCUUAGCGGCGGAUGGGUGAGUAACCGUGGGUAACCUGCCCUGCACAGGGGGAUAACAGCUGGAAACGGCUGUUAAUACCGCAUAGCACACGCUGCCGCAUGGCAGAGGGUGGAAAGAUUUAUCGGUGCAGGAUGGGCCCGCGUCGAUUAACUAGUUGGCAGGGUAACGGCCUACCAAGGUUAUGAUCCGUAGCCGACCUGAGAGGUGACCGGCCACAUUGGGACUGAGACACGGCCCAAACUCCUACGGGAGGCAGCAGUGGGGAUAUUGCACAAUGGGCGGAAGCCUGAUGCAGCGACGCCGCGUGAAGGAAGAAGUAUUUCGUAUGUAAACUUCUAUCAGCGGGGAAGAAGAUGACGGUACCCGACUAAGAAGCCCCGGCUACUACGUGCCAGCAGCCGCGGUAAUACGUAGGGGGCAAGCGUUAUCCGGAUUUACUGGGUGAAAGGGAGCGUAGACGGCAGGGCAAGUCCGAUGUGAAAACCCGGGGCUCAACCGCGGGAUGCAUUGGAAACUGCUCGGCUCGAGUACUGGAGGGGUAAGCGGAAAUUCCUAGUGUAGCGGGAAAUGCGUAGAUAUUAGGAGGAACACCGGCGGCGAAGGCGGCUUACUGGACAGUAACUGCGUUGAGGCUCGAAAGCGUGGGGAGCAAACAGGAUUA